UACGUAGGGUGCGAGCGUUGUCCGGAAUUAUUGGGCGUAAAGGGCUCGUAGGCGGUCUGUUGCGUCGGGAGUGAAAACUCAGGGCUUAACCCUGAGCCUGCUUCCGAUACGGGCAGACUAGAGGUAUGCAGGGGAGAACGGAAUUCCUGGUGUAGCGGUGAAAUGCGCAGAUAUCAGGAGGAACACCGGUGGCGAAGGCGGUUCUCUGGGCAUUACCUGACGCUGAGGCACGAAGGCCAGGGGAGCAAACGGG
rnacentral:rRNA from 1 species